UUUUAUUCUCUAUAUUAUUGAGUAACUUUUGUAUUUUCUCCUCUCUAUUACUUUAACAAACUUGACAAUCUUUGCAAGUUAUAAAUAGUUAUUUCACCUCUCAUAUAAAAGAGAUGAUCUCCCAUUACUGUUCAUUUGUGGCACCUCUGUUUAACACGUAACCAGUUUGAAUUGUUCAUUAUCUUGAUACUUUCUUAGUAAAAAAUGAUUGAACCACCCAUUU
rnacentral:lncRNA from 1 species